GACUUCAGACUGAUAAGCCUAUGUAACGUGCUGUAUAAGAUCGUGUCUAAGUGCCUGGUCAAUAGGCUGAGACCGUUGUUGGGUGAGCUGAUCUUAGAGAACCAAAGCGCAUUCAUCCCUGGGAGGCUUAUCUCAGAUAACUCUAUAAUUUCUUUUGAGUGUAUCCAUCAUAUACAGAAUAUGAAACCAAAUAGUACUGCUGCUUGUGCUUACAAGUUGGAUCUCUCGAAAGCAUAUGACCGUGUAGAUUGGGAGUUUUUGGAGCAAGCCCUAAUAAAAUGGGGGUUCUCGAUGGAGUGGAUUAAAUGGAUCAUGGCUUGUGUGAAGUCUAUGAAAUACUCGGUUAAGUUCAAUGGGAAGCUAUUGGAGGCGUUUUCCCCUACUAGGGGACUAAGGCAAGGUGACCCCCUGUCUCCCUUCCUCUUCCUGUUUAUAGCUGACGCUUUGUCCUCCUUGUUAUCCAAGUCAGUGCAAGAGGGAGAGUUGAAGGGGGUAUCAAUCUGCCGUGGUGCUCCAGUCAUCUCACAUCUAUUGUUCGCAGAUGAUACUAUGUUACUGUUUGAAGCAUCAAGUCACCAAGCAACCACUGUGAAAGGCUUGUUGAACACUUAUGCCAGAGCGACGGGUCAACUUAUUAACCCCGAAAAGUGUUCCAUCCUUUUUUCGGACAACUGUUCGGAGGCGGUGGCGGAAGAGAUGAAGGGGAUUUUGGAAGUAACACAACAAGUCUUUGAGCCUAAAUACCUGGGUUUACCUGUACCGGAAGGAAGAGUUCACAAAGGGCAAUUUAAGACUGUGCAGGACAGGUUAAGGAAAAGAUUGGUGGACUGGAGUGAG
rnacentral:rRNA from 1 species